AUUAAAGAUUGCAUAUUUUGGCUUUAACAUUGAUUCACUGAUAGGGUCUUUGCAUCGGAACUAAACACAUUUAUUUCUAAAAAAAACAGUUGUUGGCAUGACACGGGUUGUGUUCUUCUCAUAUAUUUUAUGAUAGUAUGAUACUAAACCCCUAACGGGAGGGAUUGUACCUGAUAUUCAUAUGAUGAAGACAUAAUCUUUCAAUCAGUUUAUUUGAGGUCUGGAGCUGGCAUGUCAGUUGACUGCUAGUAGUCUGUUGUUGUUUAUGUAUUAUUGUCAUUUUGUUUGUUUUCUUUUGUUACAUCUUUUGACAUCGGACUCGGACUUCUCUUGAACUGAAUUUUAAUGUGCGUAUUGUUAUUCUUUUACUUUUCUACAUUGGCUAGAGGUAUAGGGGGAGGGUUGAGAUCUCAUAAACAUGUUUAACCCCGCCGCAAUUUUGCGCCUGUCCCAAGUCAGGAGCCUCUGACCUUUGUUAGUCUUGUAUGAUUUUAAAUUUUAGUUUCUUGUGUAUAAUUCGGAGUUUAGUAUGACGUCCAUUGUCACUACUAUUAUGCAUAUUUUAGGGGCCAGCUGAAGGACACCUACGGGUGCGGAAAUUCUCGCUACAUUGAAGACCCAUUGGUUGCCUUCGGCUGUUGUUUGCUCUAUGGUCGGGUGGUUGUCGCUUUGACAUAUUCACCAUUUCCUUUCUCAAUUUUAUGAUAUAUUGAGAUAUACUGUUCCCAGCCCAAACUGAACAAUCAUAAGAAUGGAUGACAAAUGCGACAAUACAUGAUACCUAUAGGACACAGAGGCAUGCUGAUUAAUUUAUUGUGGAAGGAUGAGAAGCGACACACAAAAUGAGGUCUUCUCGUUUAAUAGUAUAGAUUGUGGAAGAAAGAGAAGCGACACACAAAAUGAGGUCUUCUCGUUUUAUAGUAUAGAUGUCCCAGACCAGGAGAGUGUGGCCCGGUGGUUGACGAAUGUUUGCUGCCUAUCGUGUUUUUUUUAUUGAUGUGGUUUUGGUCAGGCUGUUGUGUUUCUCUUUUGAACUGUUUCAUACGUUUUCAUGGCUUGCUGUAUGGUUUGAAAUUUCUUCAUCUUUUAUUUGCAUACUUUGUUUGUUGCAUCUUAGCAACACCCCUUUCUCGUUUUGGUUUUGGUUGAUAUUUUCUAAAUGAAAACAAUAUUAUUUCUCAUUCUGUUCAUAUCUUCGUAUUGGAACAAUUGAGUUCUAUAUCAACGUUUGUUAGAUAAGUUUCCCGAAUAAUAGUUUUUUUCUUGACAACCAAGUUUUAAACCGCUGACAGGAAUGUUUAGAAUGUGACUGCGCUUCUCAUUAGUCUCAUAUUUAAAGACAAGUAAAUCGAUCGUUAUAUUAGUCAGAUUAUAUACAUAAAUGCUAUUUCCAAAUGAUUGUUUUUAUGACUUUCAGACAGUCAAGCAUGACACUUUAAUUUUUAAAAGUAAAUGUAAAGUUUUCGGAAUCGAAUCGCAAAUAGUGGAGAUUCUAUGUGCAUUUGAAUUGUUUUAUAUGCGAUAGCCUAGUUAAAGAUGUUAAAAUGAGAUCAUUUUUAACAUUUUCGGCAAUGCCUUCUUAGUCCAUAAUGAGAAAACCUGAAAAAAAAACGAUUGGUUAAGAGUGAAUCUCUUAAAGGCAAAAAAAAU
rnacentral:lncRNA from 1 species